rnacentral:rRNA from 1 species
GAUGAACGCUGGCGGCGUGCCUAAUACAUGCAAGUCGAACGCUUCACUUCGGUGAAGAGUGGCGAACGGGUGAGUAAUACAUAAGUAACCUGGCAUCUACAGGGGGAUAACUGAUGGAAACGUCAGCUAAGACCGCAUAGGUGUAGAGAUCGCAUGAACUCUAUAUGAAAAGUGCUACGGGACUGGUAGAUGAUGGACUUAUGGCGCAUUAGCUUGUUGGUAGGGUAACGGCCUACCAAGGCGACGAUGCGUAGCCGACCUGAGAGGGUGACCGGCCACACUGGGACUGAGACACGGCCCAGACUCCUACGGGAGGCAGCAGUAGGGAAUUUUCGGCAAUGGGGGAAACCCUGACCGAGCAACGCCGCGUGAAGGAAGAAGUAAUUCGUUAUGUAAACUUCUGUCAUAGAGGAAGAACGGUGGAUAUAGGGAAUGAUAUCCAAGUGACGG